GAUGGGGUUGAAGAGACCAUAUACGUUAAUGAAAGUCUAUCCCUCUCUUACAGAAAACUAUUCAAGUCAACUCGGCAGUUUUGUAGAGAGAACAAUUACAAAUAUUGUUGGGUCCGGGAUGGCAGGCUGUUAGUGAGGAGAACUGAUUCCUCGAGGAUUUUUCGCAUUAUUUUUGAAGCUGAGCUGAACAAGUUGCCAAAGAACUAAAAUGGCUUUCAAUUUGACUUCAUUUUACCAAAAUUGUAGAGGACUGAGAACUAAAACGACAGAAUUUCUUAAUUCAUCAUGGAAUAGCACUGCAGAAGUGAUAUGUGAGAAUCGUGGCUCAAAUCGACUAUUAGCAGUUCGGAAUUUAUGUUUAGGAAUUAUAAAGUGUAUCGAAAAGACAGAUGUGAUACGGGCAGUAUUAAAAAAGACGAAGGGGGCGUAUUCAUUGGCGUUGCUGAAUGCCUGCAGUGCUCACAGGUUUCGGAGGUCUGUCAUUUGACCAUGGUUGAGGACGUUUGGGUCAAGAUUAGGCUCGGUGGAAAUAGAAGUCUAUUUAUUGGUGUAAGUUACAUCCCCCCAGAUGCAACUUCUGAAGAUUAUGCGGGCUACUAUGACGCCGUGACCAUACUCAUGACAUUUUCCUCCUCAUUGGCGACUUCAACCUACCACUUUUUUCCUGGACUGCGGAUUUGAACGGGGAGCUUGUUUGUGAUCAUGUGCAGAGAGACUCGUACACCUUCUUCCGGAAAUUCACAGUCCUGGAACAUUGAAUGAUACAAUGAUAGAGAGACGAAAUUAAUAUCGAAUACCAAGAGAAGAAAUAAACCCAACGGUCAACAUCAAGAGAAGACAUUCAUACAAAAUUCCUAUUGAAAUAAAAAAAAAAUCAGACUUAAGAAAAUAUUGGAUGCAAAGAUUUUCUCUCUUCAAUCGAUUCGACGAAGGAAUCAAGCUUGACGAGGAGAGUUGGUAUUCCGUCACUUCGGAGUUUAUCGCCAGAAAAACUGCAGAGAGGUUGAAAACUGAUGUCAUAAUUGAUGGGUUUUGUGGAGAUGGAGGAAAUACCAUACAGUUCGCCUUCACUUUCCUGGAACAUUGAAUGAUACAAUGAUAGAGAGACGAAAUUCAUAUCGAAUACCAAGAGAAGAAAUAAACCCAACGGUCAACAUCAAGAGAAGACAUACAAAAUUCCUAUUGAAAUAAAAAAAAAUCAGAUUUAAGAAAAUAUUGGAUGCAAAGUUUUUCUCUCUUCAAUCGAUUCGACGAAGGAAUCAAGCUUGACGAGGGGAAGUUAUAAAUAAUUUUCUUCUUAUACUUUGAAUAUAAGUUAUAUUGGCAUUCUCUGAUCUCACUUUUUUUUACAGAGAGUUGGUAUUCCGUCACUUCGGAGUUUAUCGCCAGAAAAACUGCAGAGAGGUUGAAAACUGAUGUCAUAAUUGAUGGGUUUUGUGGAGAUGGAGGAAAUACCAUACAGUUCGCCUUCACUUGUAAAAAAGGUAAGGAAGUAAAAUGAUAUAUGAUUCAUUCCGGAACUUCACAGUCCUGGAACAUUGAAUGAUACAAUGAUAGAGAGACGAAAUUCAUAUCCAAUACCAAGAGAAGAAAUAAAUCCAACGGUCAACAUCAAGAGAAGACAUUCAUAAAAAAUUCCUAUUGAAAUAAAAAAAAUCAGAUUUAAGAAAAUAUUGAAUGCAAAGAUUUUUCUCUCUUCAAUCCAUUCGACGAAGGAAUCAAGCUUGACGAGGAGAGUUGGUAUUCCGUCACUCCGGAGUUUAUCGCCAGAAAAACUGCAGAGAGGUUGAAAACUGAUGUCAUAAUUGAUGGGUUCUGUGAAGCUGGAGGAAAUGCCAUACAGUUAGCCUUCACUUGUAACAAAGAAUAUGGAGAUGUGUUCAUUGGAAAAUUUGGACUAGGUAAGCGAAACAGUAGAGGUGAAACUUUAUCCAAUUAUCUCAACAAAGAAAGUUUAUUCUGCCUGAACACAUUCUUCAAGAAACCAAAAUCACGCAAAUGGACUAGGAGAAGCCCAGACGGCAACACGAAAAAUGAAAUUGACUUUAUCCUCUCCAAUAACAAAACAAUAUGCAAGGAUGUGACAGUACUGAACAGAAAUGAUACUUGAAGUGAUCACAGAAUGGUGAGAGCAAAGCUUGUCAUUAACAUCAAAGCCGAGAGGAGCAAGCUUCUGAAGAGAAAAUGCUAUCCAACCUUUGACAUCAUGAAACAGAAAGAGGAGGAAUAUCAAAAUGAUCUACAUCAGAAAGUAGCAAAGGUUGAAGCUGAACAACUAGGCAUCGAUGAAUUGGCUGAUAGAGUUGUGGAAGCGGUGAAUACAUCGAUAAGGAAGAUUUGUUCGAGGACGCAAGAUACAAAAAGUUCCCGGUAAGGCCAGAAUACAAUUAGACUGUUGGAGCAGAGACGAAAUACAACUGACAAAACUACAGACGAAUAUAAAAAAAUCAAUAGGCGAGUAAAAAAGGCAAUAAGAAAAGAUAACAGAGAAUACUAUAAUGCAAAGCUCAUAGAAGAAAUGAUAAAGGACAAUUGCAAAAUGAAGGUCCAACGUAGGAAACUCUAGAAAGGAAAAACCAAAAUAAUAAAAUUACGCAACAAUAAUGAUGUCAUAGUACACGAUAGAAAAGACAUAAUUCGAGCAGUCGAAUCCUUCUAUACUGACCUAUAUUGGUCUAGAUCACGGAACUCGGCGAACAAGUUGA